rnacentral:lncRNA from 1 species
GUUUAUGUAUUUGUUUUCCAAUAAAAGAUAUACUUUAUUCAAUUAAAUUUGUUAUUUGUGUGACUAAACCAUCCAUAGAGAUUACAUUUUUAUUGAAAUGUCACGUGUAAAUAACAUAAUUGUUUAUUAAAUAGAUUAUAAUUUCUCAUCCUCUCAUCCCAAACCCUCGAAACUUAAUUUAUUCACUAAUUUCUCUUGAACCAAACUCUAUCCCUAAACUCUCACCCACCUUCUACAAACUCUUCAACUCAUCGAUAGAGAUUUUACUAGAGAUUUUACUAGAGUUUGGUGUUUGGACAUUGAUGAGGUUGACGAUGAAGAUUUUUGCAGUGGUGGUCGUUGGCGACGAUGGAGAAAACUGAACCAAUUAUAGGGUAUGCUUUUGGAAAGAUUGCGGUGGUGGUGGAACCUGGUUUGCUUAUUGCUGAUAACCAAAGUAGAAGUUACCACGAUUAAAAACAAACAAGCUAAACAUUUCAACUUCACUUUAUGUAGAUGUCUUGAAGAGUUUGUGGAAGGUGGGUGAAAGGUUAGGGAUAGAGUUUGGCUGGAGAGAAAUUAGUGAAUGAAUUGAGUUUGGAGGGUUUCGUGUGAGAGGAUGGGAAAUUAUAAUCUAUUUACUAAACUAACCAUGACAUCAUACAUAGUUGAAUUAAGUAAUGGAUUAUAUUUUUGACUAAACUAGCAAGUUAUCCGUGCAUUUGCACGAGACGGUAUUUUUUUGC